rnacentral:rRNA from 1 species
UACGGAGGGCGCAAGCGUUAUCCGGAAUUAUUGGGUUUAAAGGGUGCGUAGGCGGUUCUUUAAGUCCGGGGUGAAAGCCCACUGCUCAACAGUGGAACUGCCCUGGAAACUGGAGAACUUGAGUACAGACGAGGGCGGCGGAAUGGAUGGUGUAGCGGUGAAAUGCAUAGAUACCAUCCAGAACCCCGAUUGCGAAGGCAGCUGCCUAGACUGUAACUGACGCUGAGGCACGAAAGCGUGGGGAGCGAACAGG